CCUACGGGAAGCAGCAGUGAGGAAUAUUGGUCAAUGGGCGUAAGCCUGAACCAGCCAAGUCGCGUGAGGGAUGAAGGUUCUAUGGAUCGUAAACCUCUUUUAUAAGGGAAUAAAGUGCGGGACGUGUCCCUUUUUGUAUGUACCUUAUGAAUACGGAUCGGCUAACUCCGUGCCAGCAGCCGCGGUAAUACGGAGGAUCCGAGCGUUAUCCGGAUUUAUUGGGUUUAAAGGGUGCGUAGGCGGCCUUUUAAGUCAGCGGUGAAAGUCGGUGGCUCAACCAUAGAAGUGCCGUUGAAACUGGGAGGCUUGAGUAUGUUUGAGGCAGGCGGAAUGCGUGGUGUAGCGGUGAAAUGCUUAGAUAUCACGCAGAACCCCGAUUGCGAAGGCAGCCUGCCAAGCCAUGACUGACGCUGAUGCACGAAAGCGUGGGGAUCAAACAGGAUUAGAUACCCUGGUAGUC
rnacentral:rRNA from 1 species